UACGUAGGGUGCGAGCGUUGUCCGGAUUUAUUGGGCGUAAAGAGCUCGUAGGCGGUUUGUCGCGUCGGCCGUGAAAUCUCCACGCUUAACGUGGAGCGUGCGGUCGAUACGGGCAGACUUGGAGUUCGGUAGGGGAGACUGGAAUUCCUGGUGUAGCGGUGAAAUGCGCAGAUAUCAGGAGGAACACCGGUGGCGAAGGCGGGUCUCUGGGCCGAAUACUGACGCUGGAGGAGCGAAAGCGUGGGGAGCAAACAGG
rnacentral:rRNA from 1 species